GGAGCAGGACAAAUGGUCGCUGUUCUAUGUUUUACAUAGAAGGGAGGAAAGUCCGGGCUCUAUAGGGCAAGGUGCUCCGUAACACGGAGUCCCGGUGACGGGAAGGAAAGUGCCACAGAAAAUAUACCGCCCUAUUAGAUGGCAAGUCCGUCUAAUUGGGUAAGGGUGAAAAGGCGAGGUAAGAGCUCACCGCUCCGGUGGUGACACCGGAGGCUUGGUAAACCCCACCUGGAGCAAGACCAAAUAGAGGGACGUUUGAGGGCUGCCCGUCCGAGUCCCAGGGUAGGUUGCUUGACCCUAAUAGCAAUAUUGGGGCUAGAUGAAUGACCAUUGUCCCGUAGAGGGUGACUGAUACGGGAAACAGAACCCGGCUUAUGGACUGCUCUAACA
rnacentral:RNase_P_RNA from 1 species